UACGUAGGCAGCAAGCGUUGUUCGGAGUUACUGGGCGUAAAGGGUGUGUAGGCGGUUCCUUAAGUUUGCUGUGAAAUCUCCCGGCUUAACCGGGAGGGUGCGGUGAAUACUGAGGGACUAGAGUACGGGAGAGGAAAGUGGAAUUCCUGGUGUAGCGGUGAAAUGCGUAGAUAUCGUAAGGAAGACCAGUGGCGAAGGCGAGUCUCUGGACAGUUACUGACACUGAGGACAGCGAAGGCCAGGGGAGCAAACGGG
rnacentral:rRNA from 1 species